CCGGAUCCUGCAAGACAAAAUGAAACCAGGAAACGGAACACAAGAGCACCUAGUGGAGCGAAGGGGUCGUCACAAGAGCAUAAAACCAGGCAUGACUCAUUGUCAGGACGGCAUUGAUAAAACAUGGCAUCCUGUAGGAUCUUCAUGGAGAAACAGGAAAUGUAUUCCACCCCCAGACAGCUGUGUGUCAGUGUUUGACCCAGUAGCAUGUGUGUACAUAGUGCACAAGAAGGACGACCCCACCGUAGAGUGUCCAAUUUAUGCUGCAGUAGGGAAAUGAUGGAGUAUGAAUGUAUUUUCUUUUAUUGUUGUUGUUGAACUGUGGAGAGAGAGAAGCAGAUGUGCUCCCUCACUGGCUUCUCACAACAAUGAAAUGUUUGUUUAAAUGCAUGAUCAAGAGCUGAAUUAUUGAAAAUAACAUACUUCUACAAAUCACAUUUCAGAUAAACAAAUCAUACAUUUCUUUAUUAUUUAUUAUUAUUCAAAGUUCAGUUUAUUUGUCCAGAGAAGUACUACUCAGACUGUGAAAACAGUCGUAUGAUUUUUUCUGUGGCUCUGGAGGAAGCUUUCCAAAGUUUGAUUUGAUAAAACGAUCCUGAUGAUGUAAUCAUCUCAGCUUGGACUUGAGAUGUAAAUUUUUUGACAGAACGCAAACUUGAGGUGUGUGGUUUGAAAGAUUUGGGCAUUUAGGAGGCAAGUUCUAGUGUUUUUGGGGAUUUACCCACACUAUCUUGGCUUCUGCUACUUCAGUGUUGACCAUUCACUUUAAAUCUGUUUAAUCAUUUUUAUUGAUGAUAGCGCAAUACUAAAUUACUGGAGUACCCCUUUAAGUCGACUUGUAUUUGUGUUUGCACACUAAUUAAGGUACUGACAAGCCUGGUGCACUUCCUUGGGGCUUCACCCAAAGAAGUACAUAUAAGGUGGAAAUUUGUCACCUUAUAUGGACUUCAUCUAAACUGUGCCUUCUCUGGGUCAUAAUUACUAUGGCUGCUGGAUGGCGUCUGUCACUCAAACGUGAUUAUAGGUCGUUUUUGGCAAUUGACACCCGAAGUGUUGUUUUUCUUAGGAGGUCAGGCUCAGAAUUUGAUUUAUUAAUUCAUUCAUUAAUGCACUCAUUCGUUAUUCACUGGCACUUUUCUUACAUAACUUAAUUUGUCUUGAAAAAAGAGAACUUCUAAAUUUCAAACAAAAUAACCUCAUUAAUGUAGUUAUCAGCUCUACAGUUUUGUUUGCACAGUAAUUACAAUAAAUCAGACAUUUGUGACUUGAGAAGACUGUUGACUAAAAUAAUAAUAAUUUUACACAUUUAAAAGCUGUUUUGAACGUCACACUACUGAUGAAUUGUCUGAGAAAGUGUGAAUACAAUAACCUCAUGCUGCUGGUGGUAAAUAAACGGGACAAAGCAUUUUAUUGCCAAUAUACUGAUAAUCAGCAGAACCUUUUUGUUUGUUAUUAUCUUUGUUUGCUUG